AUGUCCUUGUGUCCCUUGGUGGCUGCGGUGUCCCUGUGUCCCUUGGUGCUGCUGUGUCCCUGGCUGUGCCAGUCUGGGGGCAGGGGGGCAGAGGAGCUGUUAGGCUCUGGUUUCUGUCAGAGCCAGGUCCUGCCCACUGCUUUGUGUCCCUGCUGGGCUCAGGGUUUGGGGACAGCUCUGUGUCCCCUGCAGGUCCUGCUGAGCUGGCCCAGCUGUGGACAGAGGUCCAGGACAGGGAUGUCCCUGCUCCAGGGCUGUGAUCAGGACAGGGAUGUCCCUGCUCCAGCCCCUCUCUGGCCCUGGUGGACUCUCCCAUCCCACUGCUGCCCUCGGAGGCAGGGAGGUGACUCCUCUGCCAGGCUCUGCAGGAGAUCCAGGAGCAGUGGGGCUCUACAGACUCCCGGUGCUGCUGAGCCCAUCCUUGUUCCCUCUGGCAGCCAAUUCCUCACCCCAGGUUUUGGGGGUGCAGCUCCCCCAGUGCUCCACAUUCAGCUCUGCUCCUUCCCUGCCUUGGGACACUUUGAGCUGUCGCUGUGUCCCAGUGCCUGCAGGGACAGUGCUGCCCCUGCCCAGGCUGUGGGACAGACAGUUCAGUGCCUCCCAGCUGGGGAGGGAAGGUUUGUUCUGUUUCUGCCUCUUUGCCACGUUUAUCCCCAGUUUAUCUUCACCCCUGGCUGCAGGGAUGGAAUGUCCCUGGAGCAGAGCUGGCUCUUGCCUCUUGCCUGUUCCUCACAGGCAGCUCCUGCUCCUUCCCAGCCUCCCACAGCCAUGGGCACACUGUGCUGUGUCCUGCUCUGCAGCUUUGGCUCCAUCCUCCAUCCUUUCCCCAUGGAUGAGCUCAGAGCCAGUCCUGGCCCAGGGCUGCCAUCACCUCCCCAGGCACCAGAGGUUUGGUUGGGUUGUACAGAACGAUUGUAACCUGUAACUUUUUGUAAUUGUUUUUAAUAAAAGAGUGUUGACUAGAUGCA
rnacentral:lncRNA from 1 species